GUUCUCUGGGCAGCCACUGGGGCCACACCACCCCUGCUGGGGCGCCCCGCCUCAUCUUUUGGUGCUUGCUUUGCUUCUCUGGUGAGUUAGGACUAUGUCAAUGGCACCAAUCAGGAAGAAUUCAAACGGGUAUUGAUCAGAGUAUUCAGAAGCUUCCGGAUAUUGUAAACAAACAAUAUAUUUUCAUACAGAAAAAAUAUUGCAAUUAACUGUCCAGAAACCAGAGCAAGUUAUCAAAAAGAGGAUGUCUCAGAACCAAGGAAUGAAUUACAGGAAAAGAUGUGCUGGUCCAGAAGUAAUUGACAAAACUGAGGCAUUGGCAGCAGAUGCUGCAGGAUAUUAAGGUGUAGUACAAAAGCCAGCCGACAUCCCUCAGGCUCCUUGGCCUACCUUGAGCAGGUGUCUGCCAAUAUCCCUGAACCUCUGAAGCUGACUUGA
rnacentral:lncRNA from 1 species